rnacentral:rRNA from 1 species
ACCUCAAAUCAGGCAAGAAUACCCGCUGAACUUAAGCAUAUCAAUAAGCGGAGGAAAAGAAACUAACAAGGAUUCCCCCUAGUAACGGCGAGUGAAGAAGGGAAGAGCUNNNAUUUUAAAUCUNCCUUGUUCAAGGUCGAGUUGUAAUUUGAAGAAGCGUUUUCUUGGGCUCGCGGCCGGUAGAAGUUCUUUGGAACAGGACAUCAUAGAGGGUGACAAUCCCGUCUGCGACCGGUCGUGUGUUCAUCUACGAUACGCUUUCAAAGAGUCGAGUUGUUUGGGAUUGCAGCUCCAAAUGGGUGGUAAACAUCACCUAAGGCUAAAUAUUGGCGAGAGACCGAUAGCGAACAAGUACCGUGAGGGAAAGAUGAAAAGAACUUUGAAAAGAGAGUUAAACAGUACGUGAAAUUGUUGAAAGGGAAACGAUUGAAGUCAGUCGUGCUGGCGUGAAAUCAACCCUCUCAUUGCGAUACCACAUGUUGUGGCGAGCCUCAAAACCGCCACAGCAUGCGGUAUUGCGAUGAGGGGGAGCACUUUUGUGUCCGCUGGUUAACAUCAAUUUCGAACGUCAUAAAAAGGCUGGAGGGAUGUGGCUCCUUCGGGAGUGUUAUAACCUUUAGCGGAAUGUGAUGGUCGGGAUUGAGGAUUGCAACGAAUACCUUUAGGGCUGUUCCACCUGGCUUCUCUUUGGUAUCCUGGUGACGACAGCUUGCUGACGUUGUUAGGAUUCGCCUUUGAACAGGCUAGAGUGUGAGCAAAUUCGUUAAGGAUGUUAACGUAAUGGCUUUAAACGACCCGUCUUGAAACACGGACCAAGGAGUCUAACAUAUAUGCGAGUG